GCGCGAAAACUUUACAAUGCGGGCAACCGUGAUAAGGAAACCCCGAGUGCCACCACAGGGUGGCUGUCCACCAGUGUAAAAAACUGGUGAAGAAAGGGCCGGGCAAGACCGGUGCCAGCCGCCGCGGUAAUACCGGCGGCUCGAGUGGUGGCCGCUUUUACUGGGCUUAAAGGGUCCGUAGCUGGAUCUGGGUGUCCCUUGAGAAAUCCAUCGGCUUUACUGAUGGGCGUUCAGGGGAAACUGCAGUUCUAGGGACCGGGAGAGGUGAGAGGUACUGCCGGGGUAGGAGUGAAAUCCUGUAAUCCCGGUGGGACUACCUAUGGCGAAGGCAUCUCACCAGAACGGCUCCGACAGUGAGGGACGAAAGCUGGGGGAGCAAACC
rnacentral:rRNA from 1 species